rnacentral:rRNA from 1 species
AUUGAACGCUGGCGGCAGGCCUAACACAUGCAAGUCGAGCGGAUGAAGGGAGCUUGCUCCUGGAUUCAGCGGCGGACGGGUGAGUAAUGCCUAGGAAUCUGCCUGGUAGUGGGGGAUAACGUCCGGAAACGGGCGCUAAUACCGCAUACGUCCUGAGGGAGAAAGUGGGGGAUCUUCGGACCUCACGCUAUCAGAUGAGCCUAGGUCGGAUUAGCUAGUUGGUGGGGUAAAGGCCUACCAAGGCGACGAUCCGUAACUGGUCUGAGAGGAUGAUCAGUCACACUUGAACUGAGACACGGUCCAGACUCCUACGGGAGGCCGCAGUGGGGAAUAUUGGACAAUGGGCGAAAGCCUGAUCCAGCCCUGCCGCGUGUGUUAAGAAGGUCUUCGGAUUUUAAAGCACUUUAAGUUGGGAGGAAGGGCAGUAAGUUAAUACCUUGCUGUUUUGACGUUACCAACAGAAUAAGCACCGGCUAACUUCGUG